rnacentral:rRNA from 1 species
GAUGAACGCUAGCGGCAGGCCUAAUACAUGCAAGUCGAGGGGCAGCGCGGUAGCAAUACUGGCGGCGACCGGCGCACGGGUGCGUAACGCGUAUGGAACUUGCCCUUUACUGUGGAAUAGCCCGGGAGAAAUUCGGAUUAAUACCACAUAGUAUCACGAGGUGGCAUCAUUUUGUGAUUAAAGAUUUAUCGGUAAAGGAUAGUCAUGCGUCAGAUUAGCUAGUUGGCGGGGUAACGGCCACCAAGGCGAUGAUCUGUAGGGGGCUCUGAGAGGAUGAUCCCCACCACUGUGNCUGAGAUACGGACCAGACUCCUACGGGAGGCAGCAGUAGGGAAUAUUGGUCAAUGGGCCGAGAGCCUGAACCAGCCAUGCCGCGUGCAGGAAGAAGGCCCUCU